rnacentral:rRNA from 1 species
UGGGGAAUAUUGGACAAUGGGCGAAAGCCUGAUCCAGCCAUGCCGCGUGUGUGAAGAAGGUCUUCGGAUUGUAAAGCACUUUAAGUUGGGAGGAAGGGCAGUAAGCGAAUACCUUGCUGUUUUGACGUUACCGACAGAAUAAGCACCGGCUAACUCUGUGCCAGCAGCCGCGGUAAUACAGAGGGUGCAAGCGUUAAUCGGAAUUACUGGGCGUAAAGCGCGCGUAGGUGGUUCGUUAAGUUGAAUGUGAAAGCCCCGGGCUCAACCUAGGAACGGCAUCCAAAACUGGCGAGCUAGAGUAGGGCAGAGGGUGGUGGAAUGUCCUGUGUAGCGGUGAAAUGCGUAGAUAUAGGAAGGAACACCAGUGGCGAAGGCGACCACCUGGGCUCAUACUGACACUGAGGUGCGAAAGCGUGGGGAGCAAACAGG